rnacentral:rRNA from 1 species
AGUGAACGCUGGCGGCGUGCCUAACACAUGCAAGUCGAACGAUGAUGGAGAGCUUGCUCUCCUGAUUAGUGGCGCACGGGUGAGUAAUGCAUAGAUAAUGUGCCCCUUAGUUCGGGAUAGCCACUGGAAACGGUGAUUAAUACCGGAUACUCCUUCUUGUCUCAAGGCAAGUCGGGAAAGUUUUUUCGCUAAGGGAUCAGUCUACGUUCCAUCAGGUAGUUGGUGAGGUAAUGGCUCACCAAGCCUAUGACGGAUAGCUGGUUUGAGAGGAUGGUCAGACACACUGCAACUGGGAGACGGUCCAGACUCCUACGGGAGGCAGCAGUGAGGAAUAUUGCACGAUGGAGGAAGCUCUGAUGCAGCAACGCCGCGUGGAGGAUGACGCAUUUCGGUAUGUAAACUCCUUGUAUUAGGGAAGAUAAUGACGGUACCUAAUGAAUAAGCACCGGCUAACUCCGUGCCAGCCGCCGCGGUAAGAC